rnacentral:rRNA from 1 species
AGUUCGGGAUCGAUAACCGCUGAAAGCAUCUAAGCGGGAAGCGAGCCUUGAGAUGAGUUCUCCCUGAUACUUUAAGUAUCCUAAAGGGUUGUCGUAGACUACGACGUUGAUAGGCAGGGUGUGUAAGCGUUGUGAGGCGUUGAGCUAACCUGUACUAAUUGCCCGUGAGGCUUAACCAUACAACACCCAAGGGGUUU